UGUAUCUAUAUCUCUGGUACAGGCAGCAAGUUUCUAUAGUGAACCUGCCUGCCUAACGAGCCUGUCUCCUCUCGCCUCAGCCUGGAUUUUAGCACGCCACACUCACUUUUAGCAGUCCAAAGUCAAAUAGUGACUCACAAAUUCCUCUGCUUUUCUUUUUCCAGGGAUCAGACAUUAGGGAGAGGCAACGUCACCUUUCCUCCUCCCUCCUCCACUCCCUACUUGUGCUCCUGCUAGCCUAACCCAGGCCUAUACAGUAAGUUACUUCUCUCUCUCUAACUACUGUCCACACACACCUCUAGUCUCAACAGUAAAUUCUACAAGAAUCUCACCCCUCUUUCGCUAACUUCCCUCUUCACAAAUAAUAUACAUUUCAGUUGUACAGUCUGCUUCACAAAUAGUCCCCUAUUCCCUGUGUAGUGCCCUAUGUGGCCUGGUCUAAAGUAGUGCACUAUAGAGGAAAAAGGGUGUAAUUUGGGAUGCACACACAGUUACAACACACCUCCAGCCAGAUCUUUUGGUCUUUCGGGCCCCAGCCUGCAAUCAAACGGCAGCCACGCCAAAUGCUUUUUCCGGAGGCCAGGAUUUUUUUCAGCUCCUGUAGCUCUGAUAAAAGCCCUGCCACACUCAAACCCCCUAUAGACUUCUCACACACACACACACACACACACACACACACACACACACACAACCCCCUAUAGGCUUCUCACACACACACACACACACACACACACACACACACACACACACACACACACACCCCCGAAGGCCAGUGAAAACAUCAAAGCGUUUCUACUGUAAGUCAGCAACACCUUUAAACUGCAGGCGCUGUAAAACAGAGGUGGAAAGAGGUGGAGACUUAGAGAGGAGGGAGGAGAGGUGGAGGAGAGAGGAGGUAGAGAGAGGAUGAGGAGAGAGGAGGUAGAGAGAGGAUGAGGAGGUGAAGAGAGGAGGUGGAGAGAGGUGGUGAGCCUUGGCUAGCACAUUAUUGCAGAUGUGCCUCAUGCUUUGUUGAGAAGAGCCAAUUCCCCUUAAUGUGAGCGGUAAAAAGGCUCUGGUUCGCCCUCUCAAAGCGAAGUAUGCUUUUAAAGUAACACUGUGAACGUGACAGCUCA
rnacentral:lncRNA from 1 species